rnacentral:rRNA from 1 species
GACGAACGCUGGCGGCGUGCCUAAUACAUGCAAGUUGAGCGCUGACGGUUGGUACUUGUACCCACUGGAUGAGCAGCGAACGGGUGAGUAACGCGUGGGGAAUCUGCCUUUGAGCGGGGGACAACAUUUGGAAACGAAUGCUAAUACCGCAUAAAAACUUUAAACACAAGGUUUAAGUUUGAAAGAUGCAAUUGCAUCACUCAAAGAUGAUCCCGCGUUGUAUUAGCUAGUUGGUGAGGUAAAGGCUCACCAAGGCGAUGAUACAUAGCCGACCUGAGAGGGUGGUCCGCCAAAAUGGGACCGAGACACGGCUCAAACUCCUACGGGAGGCAACAGUAGGGAAUCAUCGGAAAUGGGCGAAAGUCUUAACGAGCAACGCCGCGUGAGUGAAGAAGGUUUUCGGAUCGUAAAACUCUGUUGGUAGAGAAGAAAGUUGGUGAGAGUGGAACGCUCAUCAAGUGACGGUAACUACCCAGAAAGCGACGGCUAACUACGUG